rnacentral:rRNA from 1 species
GUCCACGCCCUAAACUAUGAUUACUCGAUGUUGGCGAUACACAGUCAGCGUCUAAGUGAAAACGUUAAGUAAUCCACCUGGGGAGUACGCCCGCAAGGGUGAAACUCAAAAGGAAUUGACGGGGGCCCGCACAAGCGGAGGAGCAUGUGGUUUAAUUCGAUGAUACGCGAGGAACCUUACCUGGGCUUGAAAGUUAGUGAAUCUCGCAGAAAACGCGAGAGACCGAAAGGACACGAAACUAGGUGCUGCAUGGCUGUCGU